rnacentral:rRNA from 1 species
CAGCCGCCGCGGGAAUACGUAGGUGGCAAGCGUUGUCCGGAAUUAUUGGGCGUAAAGGGCUCGCAGGCGGUUUCUUAAGUCUGAUGUGAAAGCCCCCGGCUCAACCGGGGAGGGUCAUUGGAAACUGGGAAACUUGAGUGCAGAAGAGGAGAGUGGAAUUCCACGUGUAGCGGUGAAAUGCGUAGAGAUGUGGAGGAACACCGGUGGCGAAAGCGGCUCUCUGGCUUGUAACUGACGCUGAGGCUCGAAAGCGUGGGGAACAAACAGGAUUAGAUACCCCCGUAGUCCCUGUCUCUUAUAA